CUCCUGAGUGGAGAAAAAGAAGAUCUAAAUGAUAGGUAUAAAACUCAAAGAUGUAAAAUACCUCCCCCUAAAAUGUAAAAUAAAAAAUGUAGGAAGACUCCAACAAAAGACACAGCCUAUUAAUAGCAAUUGUUGACUGGUGAUAGCUCUAGGAGUGCAUUAAUUUAUCCUUUCAGUUCUUCGCUAGUUUCCUAAUUUUCUGUUGUGAGAUCCUAUGUCUCUUACAAUGGAAAGAUACUCAACUUUAAGAGAGAUUUAAGUAAGCAAAAGGUCUAUGGCCUGAAAUGUUAUAACAGCCCUAGAAUAAAAAAAAGUUAUCCACAAUAUCACCAGGCUAAAUAAACC
rnacentral:lncRNA from 1 species